rnacentral:rRNA from 1 species
GACGAACGCUGGCGGCGUGCUUAACACAUGCAAGUCGAACGGAAAGGCCCUGCUUUUGUGGGGUGCUCGAGUGGCGAACGGGUGAGUAACCCGUGAGUAACCUGCCCUUGACUUUGGGAUAACUUCAGGAAACUGGGGCUAAUACCGGAUAGGAGCUCCUGCUGCAUGGUGGGGGUUGGAAAGUUUCGGCGGUUGGGGAUGGACUCGCGGCUUAUCAGCUUGUUGGUGGGGUAGUGGCUUACCAAGGCUUUGACGGGUAGCCGGCCUGAGAGGGUGACCGGCCACAUUGGGACUGAGAUACGGCCCAGACUCCUACGGGAGGCAGCAGUGGGGAAUAUUGCACAAUGGGCGGAAGCCUGAUGCAGCAACGCUGCGUGCGGGAUGACGGCCUUCGGGUUGUAAACCGCUUUCGCCUGUGACGAAGCGUGAGUGACGGUAAUGGGUAAAGAAGCACCGGCUAACUACGUG